rnacentral:rRNA from 1 species
UACGUAGGGUGCGAGCGUUAUUCGGAAUUAUUGGGCGUAAAGGGCGCGUAGGCGGCCUUGUAAGUCAAAGGUGAAAUCCCUCGGCUCACCCGAGGACCUGCAUCCCAAACUGCCGAGCUUGAGUAUGGGAGAGGAUGAGGGAAUUCCUGGUGUAGCGGUGAAAUUCGUAGAUAUUGGGUGGAACACCGGUGGCGAAGGCGGCCCACUGGUCCGGUUCUGACGCUGAGGCGCGAAAGCGUGGGGAGUAAACAGG